rnacentral:rRNA from 1 species
GACGAACGCUGGCGGCGUGCCUAAUACAUGCAAGUAGAACGCACAGUUUAUACCGUAGCUUGCUACACCAUAGACUGUGAGUUGCGAACGGGUGAGUAACGCGUAGGUAACCUGCCUGGUAGCGGGGGAUAACUAUUGGAAACGAUAGCUAAUACCGCAUAAUAUUGAUUAUUGCAUGAUAAUUAAUUGAAAGGUGCAAUUGCACCACUACCAGAUGGACCUGCGUUGUAUUAGCUAGUAGGUGAGGUAACGGCUCACCUAGGCGACGAUACACAGCCGACCUGAGAGGGUGAUCGGCCACACUGGGACUGAGACACGGCCCAGACUCCUACGGGAGGCAGCAGUAGGGAAUCUUCGGCAAUGGACGAAAGUCUGACCGAGCAACGCCGCGUGAGUGAAGAAGGUUUUCGGAUCGUAAAGCUCUGUUGUAAGAGAAGAACGGGUGUGAGAGUGGAAAGUUCACACUGUGACGGUAUCUUACCAGAAAGGGACGGCUAACUACGUG